GAGGAGGGACGCCCCGGGCACCGCCCCCGCCCCGCCGGCGCCCCCGCUCCAGUCUGGGACCCCGAGCCAGGCCUGUCCCAAGUCCUCCCGGGCCCGCCAGCCCGCGGCCCCUUACCUUGGCCUGGCAUUUCCGAUGACAGGAGAAGCUGCAGACUGCAAGAGGGCGAGACACAGAAAGAAAGUUUUAGCCGCGAGAUGAGAUUCACAUUUAAAUCAGCAAACUUUCAAUAAAGCACAUGACCCUCUAUAAUUUGGGUGAGCCUCAUCCAGUCAGUUGAAGGCCUUAAUAAAUAAGACCGACCUCCUCAAGCAAGAAGGAACUCUGCCAGCACACGGCUCUGGACUCGAACUACAACAGGCAGGGGUACCCCGCCUGCCAACCUACCCUGCAGAUUUUAAACCUGCCACAGCUCCACAAUCACAUAAGGGACUGGCUCUCAGUACCAGGACCCGGCACAGCAUCUGACCCAGAGGACGGCUCAGUUCCUGAUUGCCAGAUGGCUGCACGGAGCGCGGAGGAGUGAAAUCACACCCCCUUCCCAUGGACCUGCCCUCAGAAGACAGAGAACGUGGGGACCACCCUCGUCACAAGCCAAGACACCAGGUGACCAGGUGCUGUCAUCUUCUGGCUGAGGAGAUGCUCCUGGACUCCGAUCACUGGGAAUCGCCAAGGAAAGAAGGAAGGCAGACAGUGACAUUUCCCCAGCACUUCCCAGGCCACUGCCCAAGAGCCUUUAACUCCUGACUCAGUUUCCUGAGCAAGAUGAGUUCUCUCCAUCAGGGUCUUUCUCUUUCUCUCUCUCUCUCUGUCUCUCCUGAGCGAGGUAAUUCUCUCCAUCAGUGUCUGUCUGUCUCUCUCUCUCUCCUGAGCAAGAUGAGUUCUCUCCAUCAGUGUCUCUCUCUCUCUCUCUCUCUCUCUCUCUCUCUCUCUCUCUCCCCCCUCCUUCUUAAUGCAGGUUGCCCACAUUUCUGAUGCAUCAAGCCCAUUUUCUGCACUGAAACAAAAUUAUGUCCUGGCAUGGAAGGGUUCAGAGAUGGGGCUAGUCUGAGGCCCCAUCAGUGGGGCCAGGUGCCCUAGUGAGGGAUUGGAAUGGACUUCCUCAUUUAAUCCUCACAAUGAUGCCCUGCGCUGGAGUGAGGAACCUGCCCAGGGCCCUUCCUGCAUGGCCCUGGGCCUUGCUCUGUUGCCAGGGCUGCAGUGGUGUAAUCAUAGUUCACUGUAGCCUUGACCUCCCGGGCUCGAGUGAUCCUUCCACAUCAGCCUCCAAGUAGCUGGGACUACCAGCGCACACCACCAUGCCUAGCUAGCUUAUUUGUUUUUCAUACAGACAUGGUCUUACUGUGUUGCUCGGGCUGAUCUUGAACUUCUAGGCUCAGGCAAUCCUCCCUCCUUGGCCUCCCAAAGUGCUGGGAUCACAGGUAUGACCACUGUGCCUGGCCAGACUCACCUGUAGAUCUAGUUUAAAAUUCACCUCCCAAGGAGUCUUCCCUGAGACCUCCUCCCCCAGUCCAGGUUAGGUCCCAUUUACAUCCCCCAGAGGUUCCCUCUUGGUAACACCCAUCCUGCUUGCAAUCAUGUGCCCAAUAUGUGCAAGCAGCUUGAAGAGAGCAGGCUCUCCAUAAUAAUCCGUGAAAAGGGCCGGGCGCGGUGGCUCAAGCCUGUAAUCCCAGCACUUUGGGAGGCCGAGACGGGUGGAUCACGAGGU